rnacentral:rRNA from 1 species
CUAGUAACGGCGAGUGAAGCGGGAACAGCUCAAAUUUGAAAUCUGGCCUUCGGGUCCGAAUUGUAAUUUGCAGAGGAUGCUUUUGGUUAGGUACUUUCCGAGUUCCCUGGAACGGGACGCCUUAGAGGGUGAGAGCCCCGUACGGUUGGAUACCGAGCCUUUGUAAAGCUCCUUCGACGAGUCGAGUAGUUUGGGAAUGCUGCUCUAAAUGGGAGGUAAAUUUCUUCUAAAGCUAAAUACCGGCCAGAGACCGAUAGCGCACAAGUAGAGUGAUCGAAAGAUGAAAAGCACUUUGAAAAGAGGGUUAAAUAGCACGUGAAAUUGUUGAAAGGGAAGCGUUUAUGACCAGACUUUUUCCAGGCGGAUCAUCCGGUGUUCUCACCGGUGCACUUCGUCUGGUUGAGGCCAGCAUCGGUUUUCGUAGAGGGAUAAAAGCUUUAGGAAUGUGGUUCCUUCGGGAAUGUUAUAGCCUAUUGUAUAAUACCUUUAUGGGGACCGAGGUUCGCGCAUCUGCAAGGAUGCUGGCGU